UACAGAGGGUGCAAGCGUUAAUCGGAAUUACUGGGCGUAAAGCGUGCGUAGACGGUAGCGUAAGUCGGGUGUGAAAGCCCCGGGCUCAACCUGGGAAUUGCAUUCGAGACUGCUCUGCUAGGGUGCGGAAGAGGGAAGCGGAAUUUCCGGUGUAGCGGUGAAAUGCUUAGAUAUCGUCAAGAACACCGAUAGCGAAGGCAGCUUACUAGACUGUAACUGACGCUGAGGCACGAAAGUGUGGGGAUCAAACAGG
rnacentral:rRNA from 1 species